AGCUCAUCUUAGCCUUCUGGCUUGGAUCAAGUGUAGUAACUGUUCUUUUGCCCGUGAAACGGCAAAGGUCCCUACGGGGUACCGCUUGCUGUACCAGUUUUUUUGGGACCGGCCUGGAGAGCACUGAGCCCCACUUAUCUCCCUGGGCACAGUGUCACCUCUAUUGCACUGACUGGGGCUGACACGAACGACG
rnacentral:snRNA from 1 species